rnacentral:rRNA from 1 species
CGCGUAGGCGGCCGAUCAAGUCGGAGGUGAAAUCCCUCGGCUCAACUGAGGAAUUGCCUUCGAUACUGUUCGGCUUGAGUCCUGGAGAGGGUAGUGGAAUUCCCGGUGUAGCGGUGAAAUGCGUAGAGACCGGGAAGAACACCAGUGGCGAAGGCGAGUCUCUGGACAGUUACUGACACUGAGGCACGAAGGCCAGGGAGGCAAACG